UACGGAGGGAGCUAGCGUUGUUCGGAAUUACUGGGCGUAAAGCGUACGUAGGCGGCUUUGUAAGUCAGAGGUGAAAGCCCACGACUCAAUCGUGGAACUGCCUUUGAGACUGCUUCGCUUGAAGAUGGGAGAGGUUAGUGGAAUUCCGAGUGUAGAGGUGGAAUUCGUAGAUAUUCGGAAGAACACUAGUGGCGAAGGCGGCUAACUGGACCAUUCUUGACGCUGAGGUACGAAAGCGUGGGGAGCAAACAGG
rnacentral:rRNA from 1 species